rnacentral:SRP_RNA from 1 species
GCCGGGCGUGGUGGCACGCGCCUGUAGUCUCAGCUACUUGGGAGGCUGAGGCUGGAGGAUCGCUUGAGCUCAGGAGUUCUGGGCUGCAGUGCGCUAUGCCGAUCGGGUAUCCGCACUAAGUUCGGCAUCAAUAUGGUGACCUCCCGGGAGCAGGGGACCACCAGGUUGCCUAAGGAGGGGUGAACCGGCACAGGUCGGAAACAAAAAUUACAGUCAUUUAUCUGGAACCAGAAAAUACCUAGAAUCGCCAAAACUAUCUGGAGGAAAAGAAACAGAAAU